rnacentral:rRNA from 1 species
UACAGAGGGUGCAAACGUUGUUCGGAUUUACUGGGCGUAAAGCGCGUGUAGGCUGCUUCGCAAGUCGGAUGUGAAAGCCCUGGGCUCAACCCAGGAAGUGCAUUCGAAACUGCAGAGCUGGAGUCCUGGAGAGGAAGGCGGAAUUCUCGGUGUAGAGGUGAAAUUCGUAGAUAUCGAGAGGAACACCGGUGGCGAAGGCGGCCUUCUGGACAGUGACUGACGCUGGAGACGCGAAAGCGUGGGGAGCAAACAGG